GAGAGUGUUGCUCAGUGGUAGAGCACAUGCUUAACAUGCACGAGGUCCUGGGUUUAAUCCCCAGCCCCUUCA
rnacentral:tRNA from 1 species